UUGUCUCAAAGAUUAAGCCAUGCAUGUCUCAGUACAAGCCAAAUUAAGGUGAAACCGCGAAAGGCUCAUUAAAUCAGUUAUGGUUCCUUAGAUCGUACUACAUUUACUUGGAUAACUGUGGUAAUUCUAGAGCUAAUACAUGCAAACAGAGCUCCGACCGGAGACGGAAGGAGCGCUUUUAUUAGAUCAAAACCAAUCGGCGGCGUGCUCGUUCGCGCGGGCUCGUCGUCGUUCUUAUUGACGAAUCUGAAUAACUUUCUGCUGAUCGCACGGUCUCGCACCGGCGACGCAUCUUUCAAAUGUCUGCCUUAUCAACUGUCGAUGGUAGGUUCUGUGCCUACCAUGGUUGUAACGGGUAACGGGGAAUCAGGGUUCGAUUCCGGAGAGGGAGCCUGAGAAACGGCUACCACAUCCAAGGAAGGCAGCAGGCGCGCAAAUUACCCACUCCCGGCACGGGGAGGUAGUGACGAAAAAUAACGAUACGGGACUCAUCCGAGGCCCCGUAAUCGGAAUGAGAACAAUUUAAAUCCUUUAACGAGGAUCAAUUGGAGGGCAAGUCUGGUGCCAGCAGCCGCGGUAAUUCCAGCUCCAAUAGCGUAUAUUAAAGUUGUUGCGGUUAAAAAGCUCGUAGUCGAAUCUGUGUCCCGCGCCGCCGGUUCGUCGCUCGCGGCGUUUAACUGGCGUGUACGCGGGACGUCCUGCCGGUGGGCCUAACCCUUUCGCGAGGGCGGCCCAAUCAUAAUCCCGCCGCGGUGCUCUUCACCGAGUGUCGAGGCGGGCCGGCACGUUUACUUUGAACAAAUUAGAGUGCUUAAAGCAGGCUCAAAUUUUGCCUGAAUACUUCGUGCAUGGAAUAAUGGAAUAGGACCUCGGUUCUAUUUUGUUGGUUUUCGGAACCCCGAGGUAAUGAUUAAUAGGAACGGAUGGGGGCAUUCGUAUUGCGACGUUAGAGGUGAAAUUCUUGGAUCGUCGCAAGACGGACAGAAGCGAAAGCAUUUGCCAAAAACGUUUUCAUUGAUCAAGAACGAAAGUUAGAGGUUCGAAGGCGAUCAGAUACCGCCCUAGUUCUAACCAUAAACGAUGCCAGCUAGCGAUCCGCCGGCGUUCCUCCGAUGACUCGGCGGGCAGCUUCCGGGAAACCAAAGCUUUUGGGUUCCGGGGGAAGUAUGGUUGCAAAGCUGAAACUUAAAGGAAUUGACGGAAGGGCACCACCAGGAGUGGAGCCUGCGGCUUAAUUUGACUCAACACGGGAAACCUCACCAGGCCCGGACACCGGAAGGAUUGACAGAUUGAGAGCUCUUUCUUGAUUCGGUGGGUGGUGGUGCAUGGCCGUUCUUAGUUGGUGGAGCGAUUUGUCUGGUUAAUUCCGAUAACGAACGAGACUCUGGCCUGCUAACUAGGCGUAUUUCCGACAUCUCGGAAACUCGCCGGCUGGUCGCGUUCGCGUGGCCAGUCGCGCGCGGUUUUUACUGUCGGCGUACAAACAAUUCUUCUUAGAGGGACAGGCGGCUUCUAGCCGCACGAGAUAGAGCAAUAACAGGUCUGUGAUGCCCUUAGAUGUUCUGGGCCGCACGCGCGCUACACUGAAGGAAUCAACGUGUCCUCCCUGACCGAGAGGUCCGGGUAACCCGCUGAACCUCCUUCGUGCUAGGGAUUGGGGCUUGCAAUUGUUCCCCAUGAACGAGGAAUUCCCAGUAAGCGUGAGUCAUAAGCUCGCGUUGAUUACGUCCCUGCCCUUUGUACACACCGCCCGUCGCUACUACCGAUUGAAUGAUUUAGUGAGGUCUUCGGACCGGCACGCGGUUGCGUUUCGACGUCACCGAUGCUGCUGGAAAGAUGACCAAACUUGAUCAUUU
rnacentral:rRNA from 1 species